ACCUGGCUGGCUCAGUGGGUAGAGCAUGUGAUUCUUGAUCUCAGGGUCAUGAGUUCAAGCCCCACACUAGGCA
rnacentral:tRNA from 1 species